GACGAACGCUGGCGGCGUGCUUAACACAUGCAAGUCGAACGGAAAGGCCCUGCUUGCAGGGUGCGCGAGUGGCGAACGGGGGUGUAACACGUGUGUGUUCCGCCCCCCACUUCUGGAGAAGACUGCGGAAAUGUGGGGAAUACCGGAGAGGAGCCAUCUUUAGGGUGGGGGGGGGAAGGUUUUUUCGGUUUGGGAUGGGCUGGCGGCCUUGCUGUUUGUUGGUGGGGUAAUGGCCUACCAAGGCGGCGUCGGGUAGCCGGCCUGGGAGGGUGGACGGCCACAAUGGGACUGAGAUAACGCCCAGACCCCUACGGGGGGCCGGAGUGGGGGAUAUUGGACAAAGGGGGGAAGCCUGAUGCCGGGACCGCGCGUGGGGGAUGAAGGCCUUCGGGUUGUAAACUCCUUUCGCUAGGGACGAAGCUUUUUGUGACGGUAACUAGAUAAGAAGCACCGGCUAACUACGUG
rnacentral:rRNA from 1 species